GUAUAUGGCCUAAAUACCCUAAAGUUACUAGAUUCAAUCCAAUCCUGGAACCUAAGCAGAUCAGCUCUAGUUAGUUCUUGGAUGGGAGAUUGCUAAGGAAUACCAGGUGGUAUAGGCU
rnacentral:rRNA from 11 species